rnacentral:rRNA from 1 species
GACGAACGCUGGCGGCGUGCCUAAUACAUGCAAGUCAAACGCUUCUUUCCUCCCGAGUGCUUGCACUCAAUUGGAAAGAGGAGUGGCGGACAGGUGAGUAACACGUGGGUAACCUACCCAUCAGAGGGGGAUAACACUUGGAAACAGGUGCUAAUACCGCAUAACAGUUUAUGCCGCAUGGCAUAAGAGUGAAAGGCGCUUUCGGGUGUCGCUGAUGGAUGGACCCGCGGUGCAUUAGCUAGUUGGUGAGGUAACGGCUCACCAAGGCCACGAUGCAUAGCCGACCUGAGAGGGUGAUCGGCCACACUGGAACUGAGACACGGCCCAGACUCCUACGGGAGGCAGCAGUAGGGAAUCUUCGGCAAUGGACGAAAGUCUGACCGAGCAACGCCGCGUGAGUGAAGAAGGUUUUCGGAUCGUAAAACUCUGUUGUUAGGGAAGAACAAGGACGUUAGUAACUGAACGUCCCCUGACGGUAUCUAACCAGAAAGCCACGGCUAACUACGUG